UUCAACGGCCACGGUAUCCUGACCGUGCGAAGGUAGCAUAAUCACUUGUUCUUUAAAUGGGGACUUGUAUCAACGGCAUCACGAGGGUUUUACUGUCUCCUUUUUCUAAUCAGCGAAACUAAUCUCCCCGUGAAGAAGCGGGGAUAUUUAUAUAAGACGAGAAGACCCCAUGGAGCUUCAAACCCAAUUACACCCCCC
rnacentral:rRNA from 1 species